rnacentral:rRNA from 1 species
GAUGAACGCUGGCGGCGUGCUUAACACAUGCAAGUCGAACGGAGCUAUGACACGGAGUCUUCGGAUGAAGUGCUGUAGCUUAGUGGCGGACGGGUGAGUAACACGUGAGCAACCUACCUUUUGCAGGGGAAUAACUCUGGGAAACCAGAGCUAAUACCGCAUGCCGUGCGCUUGGGGCAUCCCAGGUGCAUGAAAGGAGCAAUCCGGCAGAAGAUGGGCUCGCGUCCGAUUAGGUAGUUGGAGAGGUAACGGCUCCCCAAGCCGACGAUCGGUAGCCGGACUGAGAGGUCGAUCGGCCACAUUGGGACUGAGACACGGCCCAGACUCCUACGGGAGGCAGCAGUGGGGAAUAUUGGGCAAUGGGCGGAAGCCUGACCCAGCGACGCCGCGUGAAGGAGGAAGGCUUUCGAGUUGUAAACUUCUUUGGGGAGGGACGAAGAUGACGGUACCUCCAGAACAAGCCACGGCUAACUACGUGCCAGCAGCCGCGGUAAU